CAGCCAAGGGAACGGGCUU
rnacentral:ncRNA from 3 species